CCUACGGGAGGCAGCAGUAGGGAAUUUUCGGCAAUGGGGGGAACCCUGAUCGAGCAACGCCGCGUGAACGAAGAAGUUAUUCGUAAUGUAAAGUUCUUUCAACAGGGAAGAAAGAGAUAUUUGACGGUACCUGAAGAAUAAGCUCCGGCUACCUACGUGCCAGCAGCCGCGGUAAUACGUAGGGAGCGAGCGUUAUCCGGAAUUAUUGGGCGAAAAGGGUGCGUAGAUGGCAUAGUAAGUCUUUUGUAAAAAUGCUGGGCUCAACCCAGUAGGGCAAAAGAUACUGCAAAGCUAGAGUAUGACAGAGGCAAGUGGAACUACAUGUGUAGCGGUAAAAUGCGUAAAUAUAUGUAAGAACACCAGUGGCGAAGGCGGCUUGCUGGGUGGAGACUGACAUUGAGGCACGAAAGCGUGGGGAGCAAACAGGAUUAGAUACCCCGGUAGUC
rnacentral:rRNA from 1 species